rnacentral:rRNA from 1 species
CGCCUGGGGAGUGCGGCCGCAAGGUUAAAACUCAAAUGAAUUGACGGGGGCCCGCACAAGCGGUGGAGCAUGUGGUUUAAUUCGACGCAACGCGAAGAACCUUACCUGGCCUUGACAUGCAGAGAACUUUCCAGAGAUGGAUUGGUGCCUUCGGGAACUCUGACACAGGUGCUGCAUGGCCGUCGUCAGCUCGUGUCGUGAGAUGUUGGGUUAAGUCCCGUAACGAGCGCAACCCCUAUCCCUAGUUGCUAGCAGUUCGGCUGAGAACUCUAGGGAGACUGCCGGUGACAAACCGGAGGAAGGUGGGGAUGACGUCAGGUCAUCAUGGCCCUUACGGCCAGGGCUACACACGUGCUACAAUGGUGCGCACAGAGGGCUGCAAACCCGCGAGGGGGAGCCAAUCUCACAAAACGCAUCGUAGUCCGGAUCGCAGUCUGCAACUCGACUGCGUGAAGUCGGAAUCGCUAGUAAUCGUGAAUCAGAAUGCCACGGUGAAUACGUUCCCGGGCCUUGUACACACCGCCCGUCACACCAUGGGAGUGGAUUGCACCAGAAGUGGUUAGUCUAACCUUCGGGAGGACGAUCACCACGGUGUGGUUCAUGACUGGGGUGAAGUCGUAACAAGUAACCGUAAAGGGCGAAGGCCAG